GACGAACGCUGGCGGCGUGCUUAACACAUGCAAGUCGAACGAUGAAGCCGGAGCUUGCUCUGGUGAAUUAGUGGCGAACGGGUGAGUAACACGUGAGUAACCUGCCCUUGACUCUGGGAUAACUGCGGGAAACUGUAGCUAAUACCGGAUACGACCCUCGGAGGCAUCUCCUGGGGGUGGAAAGAAUUUCGGUCAAGGAUGGACUCGCGGCCUAUCAGCUAGUUGGUGAGGGAAAGGCUCACCAAGGCGACGACGGGUAGCCGGCCUGAGAGGGUGACCGGCCACACUGGGACUGAGACACGGCCCAGACUCCUACGGGAGGCAGCAGUGGGGAAUAUUGCACAAUGGGCGCAAGCCUGAUGCAGCAACGCCGCGUGAGGGAUGACGGCCUUCGGGUUGUAAACCUCUUUUAGCAGGGAAGAAGCCACUCGGGUGAACAGCCCAGAGGGUGACGGUACCUCCAGAAGAAGCCCCGGCUAAC
rnacentral:rRNA from 1 species